AGUGAACGCUGGCGGUAGGCCUAACACAUGCAAGUCGAACGGCAGCACAGUAAGAGCUUGCUCUUACGGGUGGCGAGUGGCGGACGGGUGAGGAAUACAUCGGAAUCUACUUUUUCGUGGGGGAUAACGUAGGGAAACUUACGCUAAUACCGCAUACGACCUACGGGUGAAAGCAGGGGAUCUUCGGACCUUGCGCGAUUGAAUGAGCCGAUGUCGGAUUAGCUAGUUGGCGGGGUAAAGGCCCACCAAGGCGACGAUCCGUAGCUGGUCUGAGAGGAUGAUCAGCCACAAUGGAACUGAGACACGGUCCAGACUCCUACGGGAGGCAGCAGUGGGGAAUAUUGGACAAUGGGCGGAAGCCUGAUCCAGCCAUACCGCGUGGGUGAAGAAGGCCUUCGGGUUGUAAAGCCCUUUUGUUGGGAAAGAAAAGCAGCAGGUUAAUACCCCGCUGUUCUGACGGUACCCAAAGAAUAAGCACCGGCUAACUUCGUG
rnacentral:rRNA from 1 species